GGCAGCUCUCUAUGGGGCGCUGUGGGGCGCUGUGGGGUGACUGUGUGCCCCAUAGGGAAUGCGGCGCUUUGAGGCCCUAUGGGGCAGGUCUCUAUGGGGCGCUAUGGGGCACUAAGAGGCAGGUCUCUAUGGGGCGCUGUGGGGCGCUGUGGGGCGCUGUGGGGUGACUGUGUGCCCCAUAGGGAAUGCGGCGCUUUGAGGCCCUAUGGGGCGCUGUGGGGCAGGUCUCUAUGGGGCGCUGUGGGGCGCUGUGGGGCGCUGUGGGGUGACUGUGUGCCCCAUAGGGAAUGCGGCGCUUUGAGGCCCUAUGGGGCAGGUGUCUAUGGGGCGCUAUGGGGCGCUAUGGGGCACUAAGAGGCAG
ensembl:lncRNA